UCAUAUAUAUUCAUUAAAAUAAUAAUAACGGAAGCUAAGUAUGUUUUAAUUGAUAAUAUUGAGUCUGAAAUGCAAACUUCGCUAUGUUAAAUUUCUUUCCAAAAAUGUUUUCCAACAGUACACUUGAUUUAAAAAAUUUGUGUUACUUUUGCUAUCGAUUACUAUCGAAACGUAAAACAUCAUUUUAUUUAUUCUAUCGGGAUAGCGCCGCCACUAGUUUUGUAUUUUAGAUAUGGAAAACAGUUCUUAAUCCUGUGUGUAAUCUAACCUAUUUGGUUGGUGGAUGUUCAUAAGCUGAUUAAUUCCUGAUGUUAUGUUAUAGCCAUGGGCUAGCCAAUGGGCGUAGAAUUCAGAGUAAAAGAGAGAGUUUAAAGACCUUGAAUGAAAAUCAAAGGAAGUUAACACAGAUCACAAAUAGACAAGAGAUAAUCAAUAAGGACAUUAAAACUACGUUUUAUAACAUUACAGAACACAUAAAUAGGGAACAACAGAUAAUAAAUAAUUUCCUCAACGGCUACAAAAACAGCAUCUCAAAGACUCUAAACUCGGAGUAAAAAUUUUUACAUACAAUUCAAUACAUUUCUGGAAUUAACAUAAGCAUCGACAUAUUAUAAAAUUAUUUAAAAAACAUAGAAGAAAGCAUGUUAUUGGCAAAUCUAAAUAUUGUAUCAACAUUUAUUGUAUCACAAGAACUAAAAAUUAUUAGACAAGAACUGGACGACCCGAAAUUACGGGAAUUGUCAGACGAAAAAAGAUGCUAGAUCUAGACGCGUUUAUGAUAGGAAUUAAGAUUAAUUUUAGAAUCAGAAUCCCUACAUUUAAACAGACACAUUAUCAAUUUACACACAUCGUCCCACUCCCCAUAAAUCAAUCCAAAUUCUUAAUUGUCCCAAACUAUAUGGCCUAUCAUAACGAAAAUGAUAUACACUACUUUUCAAAGAAAUGUAAUAAAAUUCAUAAGUAUUUUAUUUGUGAAAACUCAAUUCAGAAUAAGAGACCGAUUGCCUUGAUGACAUUCUUACAGUGAAUUAUGCAAAAUGUAAAAUCGAAAACAUAGUAAUGCAAGAAAGCAUUACCGAGAUAGAACCAGCACACAUAUUAAUCCUAAACACUAUACAUUCAACUUUACAAUCAAAUUGUACGGCAAACAUUUUCCUAAGCGGAUCCGCAUUAGUUACCUUUAAAAAUUGCACAGUUUAUAUCAAUCAAAUAACAUAUAAUAAAGAAUUGUCACAGUCUGAACAUAGUGUGCAUAUCUAAAA